CAUCCGAUGUUAUAAAAUGCUGUUGGCUUGCAUCGGUCAGCGUCAGAAAAGACUCAUCAGCGGCUGGAAUAUGUAAAUGUGUGAUGUAAGAUACUGUGACAAAAUGACACAAAGAAUAAACAGUCCAGAUCAAUCUGUGAGAACAAUUUGAUUCCUUAUAAACGUUGUGGUGGUGGUGGUGUUUUUCCUGGCCACAUAACCACGACAGGGCACAGUAGUGCUUAUGUUUCUUAGAGUGUUCUUUUAACCAUAUUACUAAUUUCUCCUGAUCUUUCCAUACACAGCCUCCUACUUUUUAUCUCU